rnacentral:rRNA from 1 species
GAUGAACGCUAGCGGCAGGCUUAACACAUGCAAGUCGAGGGGUAUUGGUUUUCGGACCAAGAGACCGGCGCACGGGUGCGCAACGCGUAUGCAAUCUACCUUUUGCAGAGGGAUAGCCCAGAGAAAUUUGGAUUAAUACCUCAUAGUAUAGUAGUUUCGCAUGAAACGACUAUUAAAGUUCCAACGGCAAAAGAUGAGCAUGCGUCCCAUUAGCUAGUUGGUAAGGUAACGGCUUACCAAGGCAACGAUGGGUAGGGGUCCUGAGAGGGUGAUCCCCCCCACUGGGACGGGUACACGGACCAGACUCCCACGGGAGGCAGCAGGGAGGAAUAUUGGGCAAUGGGCGCAAGCCUGAUCCAGCCAUGCCGCGUGCAGGAUGACGGUCCUAUGGAUUGUAAACUGCUUUUGUACAGGAAGAAACACUCCCUCGUGAGGGAGCUUGACGGUACUGUAAGAAUAAGGAUCGGCUAACUCCGUGCCAGCCGCCGCGGUAA